rnacentral:rRNA from 1 species
AGCAUAUCAGUAAGCGGAGGAAAAGAAACUAACAAGGAUUUCCUUAGUAAUGGCGAAUGAACAGGAAAGAGCUCAAAACCGAAUCCUGCUGUGUUAUGCAGUUAGGAAAUGUGGUGUUUGGGUCUCACUUUGUGCAGGAAUGCUUUACUCCAAGUUCACAUGAUUGUGGCUCAUUAGCCCAAGGAGGGUGUAAGGCCCGUAAGAGUAAUUGCGUUACUGUCUUUGUGGUGACCCUAGAGUCGGGUUGUUUGGGAUUGCAGCCCUAAGUGGUGGUAAACUCCAUCAAAAGCUAAAUACAAUGCGAGUCCGAUAGCGAACAAGCUACCAUGAGGGAAAGUUGAAAAGAACUUUGAAGAGAGAGUUCAAUAGUGCGUGAAACCUUUCAGAGGUAAGCGGGUUGAGCUGAAAUUGGUGUGAUGAUUGAUGGUUGCCGAUUGACGGUUGGGUGGAGUUAGAUCGUUAUAGACUGCUUCAUUUGAUUGUAUUAAUUGGUUGCCUGUUUAUCUCAUGCUUUAACCACGAUCGGCGCUAGACUGUACUACCAUUGCGGAGAAGGUAGCCAAUAUGCUUUCGGGUAUAUUGGUGUUAUAGAUCUGCUUUGUGGUUUCGGUUUGGUGUCGUGAAGAUGGAUGUGACUGUAAGUACUGGUAUUAGUGUUGUGUGGUGUGGUGACUUUUAAAGUUGCCGUAUUACUACUGAUGCUUAUUGCUAUUGUGCCUAUGCGUUACAAUCCUAAAUCAGUGGUUUAUAGUAGGCGUUCAACCCGGCCCGUCUUGAAACACGGACCAAGGAGUCUAACAUAUACGCAAGUCAUAGGGUUCUACGAAACCUAAAGGCGCAUUGAAAGAGAAGGUUGCCUUGUUGCAACUCAGCUAUGAUCUUAAUGUCUUCGGAUGUUGAGCGCAAUAGCGGCUUGUCUCAUACUCUUUGAGUGAGGCAACGCAAGAGCGUAUAUGAUGGUACCCGAAAGAUGGUGAACUAUGCUUGCAUAGGUUGAAGCCAGGGGAAACUCUGGUGGAGGACCGCAGCGCUUCUGACGUGCAAAUCGAUCGUCAAAUGUGAGUAUAGGGGCGAAAGACUAAUCGAACCAUCUAGUAGCUGGUUCCCUGCGAAGUUUCCCUCAGGAUAGCUGGUACUCGGGAAUCAAACAGUUUUAUCCGGUAAAGCGAAUGAUUAGAAGUAUUGGGGACGAAAUGUCCUCAACUUAUUCUCAAACUUUAAAUGGGUAAGAAGCUGCACUCUCCUAAACGGAGUGUGGCAUUGAAUGUGAGUGCCUAGUGGGCCAUUUUUGGUAAGCAGAACUGGCGAUGUGGGAUGAACCAAAAGCGGUGGUUAAGGUGCCUAAAUGUACGCUCAUGACAUACCACAAAAGGUGUUAGUUGAUAUAGACAGCAGGACGGUGGCCAUGGAAGUUGGAAUCCGCUAAGGAGUGUGUAACAACUCACCUGCCGAAUCAACUAGCCCUGAAAAUGGAUGGCGGUGGAGCGUUCUACCUAUACCGCGCCGUUACUGCUAGGAAUUGACUGUAUGCAGUAACGUGUAGCAGGGCGAAAUGGUAAGCCUUGAAGCUUAGACUGUAAAGUCAAGUGGAGCUGCCAUUUGUGCAGAUCUUGGUGGUAGUAGCAAGUAUUCAAGUGAGAACCUUGAA